rnacentral:rRNA from 1 species
UUUCAGUUGGUUUGCCGCGAGGACCAGGGUAAUGAUUAAUAGGGAUAGUUGGGGGCAUUAAUAUUUAAUUGUCAGAGGUGAAAUUCUUGGAUUUAUGAAAGAUUAACUUCUGCGAAAGCAUCUGCCAAGGAUGUUUUCAUUAAUCAAGAACGAAAGUUAGGGGAUCGAAGACGAUCAGAUACCGUCGUAGUCUUAACCAUAAACGAUGCCGACCAGCGAUUAAGAAAGGUUAUAAGU